rnacentral:tRNA from 1 species
GACCGCAUAGCUCAGUUGGAAGAGCAUUGGGCUAGUAUUCCAAAGGUCGUAGGUUCGAAUCCCACCAUGGCCG